rfam:Klebsiella sp. RIT-PI-d NODE_3_length_487539_cov_38.7172_ID_5, whole genome shotgun sequence.
UUUACAUCUGAAGCCAACAGGAUGAGAACCUCCGGGGGCAGGGAGGUUCGACCCGAGCGCAGCGAGAGAACGUUGCGACAGCAACGACCCGCAGGGCGAGCCACGCAGUGGCGAGUCAUCCUCUAUCACCGACCA